rnacentral:rRNA from 1 species
UACGGAGGGGCUAGCGUUGUUCGGAAUUACUGGGCGUAAAGCGCACGUAGGCGGCUUUGCAAGUUAGAGGUGAAAGCCCGGGGCUCAACUCCGGAAUUGCCUUUAAAACUGCAUCGCUAGAAUUGUGGAGAGGUGAGUGGAAUUCCGAGUGUAGAGGUGAAAUUCGUAGAUAUUCGGAAGAACACCAGUGGCGAAGGCGACUCACUGGACACAUAUUGACGCUGAGGUGCGAAAGCGUGGGGAGCAAACAGGG